rnacentral:rRNA from 1 species
AUGGCCGGAGCAGUAGACGAUCUGAAGCUGCUGGGCGCGUGGUACAGCCCGUACGUCCUGCGAGUGCGCCUUGCCCUCAGCAUCAAGGGCAUCAGCUACGAGUACGCAGAGGAGGACCUCCAGCACAAGAGCGAGCUGCUCCUCCGGUCAAACCCCGUCCAUAACAAGGUCCCCGUGCUGAUCCACGGCGGCAACCCCGUCUGCGAGUCGCUGGUCAUCCUACAGUACAUCGACGAGGCUUUCGGCGGAGCCGGCCCCGCCCUCCUCCCGGCCGACCCCUACGAGCGCGCCGUCGCCCGGUUCUGGGCCGCCUUCAUCGAGGACACGCUCGUGAAAGCGAUGAACCAGGCGUCAUGGAGCAAGACGGAGGGGGAGAAAGUGGAGGGGAACAAACAGGCGACUGCUGCCUUGAACACCCUGGAGGCGGCCCUGAGGGAUAUCUCCAAGGGGAAGUGUCAGGACCCCGACUCGAUGUCACAUCGAUCUAGCCGGAAGCCCUUCUUUGGAGGCGACAGCGCCGGGUAUGUGGACAUCAUCCUCGGCGGCCUCCUCGCAGGGGUGCGCGCCAUGGAGGCGAUGCUGGGCGUCAAGGCCUUCGACCCAGUCACGAUGCCGCUCCUGGCCGCGUGGGCAGACCACUUCGGCGCGCUGGACGAGGUGGUGGCCGUGAUGCCGGACGUGAGCAGGCUGGUGGAGCUCUUCAUGACGAUGCACGCUCAGAUUGCGGCCGAGGCCGCCACAGCAAACUAA